AUUCAGAUGAAGAGUCCCAAAUAGGACGAAACGCGUGUUCUGGAU
rfam:Schistosoma mattheei strain Denwood, Zambia genome assembly, scaffold: SMTD_scaffold0012682